rnacentral:pre_miRNA from 1 species
AUAGUACUCUCUCCGUCCGGAAUUACUUGUCAUCAAAAUGGAUGAAAAUGAAUGUAUCUAGAACUAAAAUACAUAUAGAUACAUCCAUUUCAAUGACAAGUAUUUCCGGACGGAGGGAGUACAAU